rnacentral:rRNA from 1 species
GACAGAGGGUGCAAACGUUGUUCGGAUUUACUGGGCGUAAAGCGCGUGUAGGCGGCUUUGCAAGUCGGAUGUGAAAGCCCACGGCUCAACCGUGGAAGUGCAUCCGAAACUGCAUGGCUUGAGUCUCGGAGAGGAAGGUGGAAUGCUUGGUGUAGAGGUGAAAUUCGUAGAUAUCAGGAAGAACACCUAUGGCGAAGGCAGCUCUCUGGGACGGUACUGACGCUGAGACGCGAAAGCGUGGGGAGCGAACAGG